rnacentral:rRNA from 1 species
AUUGACUUGGAGACGUCGUGGGGGUGUGACCGAAUCCAGCAAAGUAGGAGACGGGAGGGGGGAAGCUUCUUUUGCUUCCGCGCGGCGAUCUCACGUCCAAACCCAUCCAUCCAACCCACCGCCCAAGGUCGCCGCGGAUCUAGCGAGCCUCGGCGGAGCGGAGAUGAAGAUCACGGCGCUCGUCGUGCUGAAGCCGUCGGCCGGAGGCGCCGGGGGCUCCUCCUCCAGCGGCGGGCAGGGCUCCGAGGCGCUCGUGCUGGCCAACGCCACGGACGUCAGCCACUUCGGCUUCUUCCAGCGCGGCGCCGCCCGCGAGUUCAUCGUCUUCGUCGCCCGCACCGUCGCCCAGCGCACCCAGCCCGGCCAGCGCCAGUCGGUCCAGCACGAAGAAUACAAGGUUCACUCACACAACAGAAAUGGCCUCUGCGUGGUGGCAUUUAUGGAUGAUCACUAUCCUGUACGAAGUGCAUUUUCUCUUCUGAAUAAGGUACUUGACGAAUACCAGAAGGCUUUUGGGGAUGCUUGGAAAGCCGCCACAGCAGAUUCCACUCAAGAGUGGCCUUUCCUGAUGGAAGCUUUGACAAAAUUUCAGGAUCCUGCAGAGGCUGACAAGUUAACAAAAAUUCAGAGGGACUUGGAUGAAACAAAAAUUAUCCUACAUAAAACUAUAGAGAAUGUCCUUCAAAGAGGAGAGCGAUUGGAUAGCUUGGUUGAAAAAAGCUCAGACCUGAGUGCUGCUUCACAGAUGUUCUACAAGCAGGCGAAGAAAACAAACAGUUGUUGUACUAUACUCUGAAGUUUGAACCGUGAUCCUUCAAUCUUUCUUGGAAGGCUCCAGGUUAAUGCUGUUUUCCGACAAAGAUGCUGAUACCUUCAUACAUGCUCCUUGUACCUUUAAUUACACAUGCUUAAUUCUCAGGACACUUUUUACUCCUUUUUUCAGAAAGAAAAUCAAUUGAAUAUCGUUGUGUUGUACCGUAAGUCCGAUUGCUCAUGAAAACGUGCCGGGGUCAAUACUGUAAAUCUGUUAUUCUUUGGUGACGCCUUGGAAUAGCAACUAACAUCACUUAGCAAUGGCCAACAUCAUUGUCUGCCCUGCGUAGAUUGUCGAGAUCUCUCAGUUCUCAAGUAUGUUGGAGCACCGUUGCUGCCCUUAAUUUAUGUACUUUUUGUUGGAAUACUGGUUGCUAUUCAUAAUUUAUGUUUGCAAUAUGAUUGAAGGUUGAUGG